ACCACCCUGGCCUGCCAUGCCCUCAUCCUGUGCCUAUAAAAACCCAGAGACCCUGGCAGGCAGACACACAAGCAGCUGGACGUUGAGAGGAGCAUAUCGGCAGGGAAUACAGGAGCGGCUGGAUGUGGACAGGAACGCACCAGCAUAGGAGCACACCGGCAUGGUCGCAGGCCAUUGACCAGCGGAAGGAUGCGGGGUUUCUCCAGGGAGGUCAGAGAAGCGUCAGGCGUCCAUACCUGACUCCAGGAGAAAACCCAUCUCCCGUCUGCCGAGAGCUACUUCCACUCAGUAAAACUUUCCACUCAUUCUUCAAGCCCACGUGUGAUCCAAUUCUUCUGGUACACCAAGAGUCUCACUCUAUUCCCUGGCUGGGGUGCAGUGGCACUAUCACAGCUCACCAUAGCCUCGACCUCUUGGACUCAGGUGAUCCUCCUGCCUCAGCCUCCCAAGUAGCUGGGACUACAGAUAAUAGCACUUUUCAAGAAUGCUGUUACUUCCCUUCACCUAUGUAUUUCUCAGUAUUUCUACAAGCCAGCUUCUGGGUUGAGGUCAAAACAGUCACAACCCUGCUCAAAUUCGCAAAGAUGGGACGGAAAUGGAACCUCUUCAUGGGAGGAAGGUCUCCACGAUUACCACAAAUGGUCCCUCAAGCUAUUUUGUAGUGAUUUCCUCAACACUCUGCCCCAGGAACCACCCCAUUUCAAACGCCAUGAUUUGAUUUUGUCUGUUCUAGGACUUCAUGUAAUGGAGUAUGGUAAGCUUUCAUUUGCAUCUGGCUUCUUUUUUAACUUUUAUUUUUAAGUUCAGGGGUACAUGUGCAGGUUUGUUACAUAGGUAAAUGUGUAUCAUGGGGUUUGUUAUUCAGAUUAUUUCAUCAUAUUAAGCCUAGUAUCCCUUAGUUAUUUUUUCUGAUCCUCUCCCUCUUCCCACCUUCCACCCUUUUCUCUCUCUCUCUCUCUCUCUCUCUCUCUCUCUCUAUCUCUCUCUCUCUCUCGACAGAGUCUUGCUCUGUUAUGCAGGCUGGAGUGCAGUGGCGCGAUCUCCGCUCACUGCAACUUCUGCCUCCCAGGUUCAAGCGAUUCUUGUGCCUCGGCCUCCUGAGUACCUGGGUCGUCUUGCUCUGUUGCCUAGGCUGGAGUGCAGUGGCGUGAUCUCCGCUCACAGCAAUUUCUGCCUCCCAGGUUCAAGCGAUUCUUCUACCUCGGCCUCCUGAGUACCUGGGAUUACAGGCACCUGCCACCACGCCUGGCUAAUUUUUGUAUUUUUAGUAGAGAAGUGGUUUCACCACGUUGGCCAGGCUGGUCUCGAACUCCUGAUCUCAGGUGGGCCACCCACCUUGGCCUCCCAAAGUGCUGGGAUUAGAGGCGUGAGCCACCGCACUCGGCCUCCACCCUCCCCUUUAGCUCAGCAUAUUGGUUUUGUUCAUUCAUGUUGUAUGCAUCUGUAGUUUGUUACUUUUAUUCCCAAGUAGCAUUCUACUGUAUGCACAUACACAAUUUUUAUCCAUUCUUCAGUUUAUGGUCACUUGGGAUGUCUUUAGUUCUGGGCUGUUAUAAGUAAAGCUGCUAUGCAAAUUUGUAUACAUGUCUUUUUUUGUAUACAAAUGUUUUCACUUCUCUCGGGUAACACCAAGAAAUGGAAUAGCAAGAUCUUAUUCAAGGGUAUGUUUAAAUUUACAGGAAAUUGCCAAAGUGUUUCUCCAACAGAGAAACACUUUUACAUACCCACACACAAAAUAUAAGAAUUCCAGUUUCCUCACAUCUUUUUAUUUUUAGCCAUUCAAGUGGGUGUGUAGUGGUACUCAAAUGUGGUUUUAAUUGCAUUUAUUGAAUAAAGAAAGAUGUGUGUGUUUUCAUGUGCUGAUUUGUUAUUUGUAUAGCUUCUUUGGUGACGUGUUUGUAUAAAUCCUUUGCCCGUUUUUAAUUGGAUUGCUUGUCUUCCUAUUAUUGAGUUGUAAGAAUUCUUAUUAUAUGCUUGGUUCAAGACCUUGCUCAAAUACAUAUCUUUUCCAGUAUGUGUCUUGUUUUUCACUUACUAAAAGGCAUAUUUUGAAAAGUAGAAGUUUAAAAGUUAAUGAAGUGAAAUGUAUUACUAUUUUCCUUUUCUGGUUGGUGCUGUUUGUACUUUUUAUGAGACAUGAUUGCCUGACCCAAAGUUGCAAUGAGUUUUUCCCUUUUAGAAGACAUUUUAUGACUUUGGCUUUUAUAUUUGUCUAUGAUUCAUUUAAAAUUAAUUCUUAGGUAUGGUGAGAUUCAAUUAAGGUUUAACUAAAAAAUAUUCUUCAGUUGUUCCAGCAGCAGUCACUGAAAAAGCUACCCUUUUCCUAUUAAAUUCUCGUAGCAGCAUUGUUGAAAGUCAAUGAUGCUUUAUGUGAGGGUCUAUAUUUGAACGCCCUGUCCUGUUCCAUUGACCUAUAUUGUCUAUCCUUAUGCUAGUACUGUAUUAUCUUGAUAGUGGUAAUUUGUUUUUUUCUCUCUCUCUCUCUCUUUUUUUUUUUUUUCCUUGGUUGUCCUGGCUAAGGCUUAUCAGGUUUGCUGAUCUUUCUAAAUAGUAAAGCUCUAAUUGUUUCAUCGAUUUUUUUUCUAUUGUUCGUCCAUUUUCUAUUUCAUUGAUUUCUGCUCUUAUUGUUUCCUUCCUCUACCUAUUUUAGAAUUAAUUUGUUCUUUCAUUUCUAGAUAUGCGCGUGUGUCUUUUGACUUUGGUCUUUCUUGUUUUCUAAAAUAAAGCACUUAAGACUAUAAAUUUCCCUUUAAGUCAUGAUUUAGCUGCAUUUUACAGGUUUGGCCAUGUGUUUCUAUAUUUCAAAAUAUUUUCUAAUGUUCCUUCUUAUGAUUUGUUCUUUGGCCCAUAAUUAUUUACAGGUAUGCUGCUUAACUUCCAAAUGUUUCUAUAUAUUUUUGAAAAGAAAUUGUCUAAUUGUUUGCUUUAUAUAUUUUUGUA
rnacentral:lncRNA from 1 species